rnacentral:rRNA from 1 species
GACGAACGCUGGCGGCGUGCUUAACACAUGCAAGUCGAACGGAGCGAAUGAAAGCUUGCUUUUAUGAGCUUAGUGGCAAACGGGUGAGUAACACGUAGACAACCUGCCGACAGGAUGGGGACAACAUUCCGAAAGGAAUGCUAAUACCGAAUGAAGCGGAGGAGAGGCAUCUCUCUUCCGUGAAAGAUGGCCUCUGAAUAUGCUAUCACCUGUCGAUGGGUCUGCGUCUGAUUAGCUGGUUGGUGAGGUAACGGCUCACCAAGGCGACGAUCAGUAGCCGGUCUGAGAGGAUGAACGGCCACAUUGGGACUGAGACACGGCCCAGACUCCUACGGGAGGCAGCAGUGGGGAAUCUUCCGCAAUGGGCGCAAGCCUGACGGAGCAACGCCGCGUGAGUGAAGAAGGUCUUCGGAUCGUAAAGCUCUGUUGAUGGGGACGAACGUGCGAAGGGUGAACAAUCCUUUGCAAUGACGGUACCUAUCGAGGAAGCC